CAGUAGCCGCGGUAAUACGUAGGUGGCAAGCGUUGUCCGGAAUUAUUGGGCGUAAAGGGCUCGCAGGCGGUUUCUUAAGUCUGAUGUGAAAGCCCCCGGCUCAACCGGGGAGGGUCAUUGGAAACUGGGAAACUUGAGUGCAGAAGAGGAGAGUGGAAUUCCACGUGUAGCGGUGAAAUGCGUAGAGAUGUGGAGGAACACCAGUGGUGAAGGCGACUCUCUGGUCUGUAACUGACGCUGAGGAGCGAAAGCGUGGGGAGCGAACAGGAUUAGAUACCCCGAGUAGUCCCUGUCUCUUAUA
rnacentral:rRNA from 1 species